rnacentral:rRNA from 1 species
UGGGGAAUAUUGCGCAAUGGGGGAAACCCUGACGCAGCAACGCCGCGUGAAGGAAGAAGGUCUUCGGAUUGUAAACUUCUUUGGUUGGGGACGAUAAUGACGGUACCCAAGGAACAAGCCACGGCUAACUACGUGCCAGCAGCCGCGGUAAUACGUAGGUGGCGAGCGUUGUCCGGAAUUACUGGGUGUAAAGGGCGCGUAGGCGGGGAUGCAAGUCAGAUGUGAAAUUCCGGGGCUCAACCCCGGCGCUGCAUCUGAAACUGUAUUUCUUGAGUGCUGGAGAGGAAAGCGGAAUUCCUAGUGUAGCGGUGAAAUGCGUAGAGAUUAGGAGGAACACCAGUGGCGAAGGCGGCUUUCUGGACAGUAACUGACGCUGAGGCGCGAAAGCGUGGGGAGCAAACA